GUCUCUGUGGUGCAAUUGGUUGAGUGCAUUUGGCUGUUAACUGAAAGGUUUGGUGGUCCGAGUCCACCCAGGGACA